AUUGAACGCUGGCGGCAUGCCUUACACAUGCAAGUCGAACGGCAGCGCGGGAGCAAUCCUGGCGGCGAGUGGCGAACGGGUGAGUAAUAUAUCGGAACGUGCCCAGUAGUGGGGGAUAGCCCGGCGAAAGCCGGAUUAAUACCGCAUACGACCUACGGGUGAAAGGGGGGGAUCGCAAGACCUCUCGCUAUUGGAGCGGCCGAUACCAGAUUAGGUAGUUGGUGGGGUAAAGGCCUACCAAGCCUGCGAUCUGUAGUUGGUCCGAGAGGACGACCAGCCACACUGGGACUGAGACACGGCCCAGACUCCUACGGGAGGCAGCAGUGGGGAAUUUUGGACAAUGGGCGCAAGCCUGAUCCAGCAAUGCCGCGUGCAGGAAGAAGGCCUUCGGGUUGUAAACUGCUUUUGUCAGGGAAGAAAUCCUCUAGGCUAAUACCUUGGGGGGAUGACGGUACCUGAAGAAUAAGCACCGGCUAACUACGUGCCAGCAGCCGCGGUAAGAC
rnacentral:rRNA from 1 species